GGCGAUUGGCGCGGGGUCCGGCCGCCGCUGCAAGGUAGGCGCGGCCCGCGGGGCGCCCCGUCGCUGCGUCCCCGGGGCCCGGGACACCCGCGCGCGACCCCUGGGAGAGCGUUCCGCCCCGUGGGGUUUGGGGACGGGAUGCGAGUCCCACGAUCGUCCCGGGGAAGCCCAGGAGCCAAGUUCUACUCCAGCUAGCCUUGGAGGGGGCACGGGAAACGCACCAGCCCCGGUCCCUGUCCGGAGACCGCCCAGGACCGCGAGCUUCGCCCAGGACAGGUGCAGGACCUGGCGGCGACAAGCGCUCCCGGGGGCUGAGUGGGAGCUCCCGAGAGUGGCCAGGGGUGGUGGUGGCAGGUGUGGUUUCAAGGUUCAGGGCUUCGGCCAGGGCUGUGCCCGAAGGAAAGGGGUGCGUCCCGCGCCAGCCUGGAGGAGGACCGGUAGGGACAGAGACCCGGAGGGGGAUCCGGCGGGGAAGAUGGCUGGACCCGGCCGGUCACUGAGCGCGCGCCGCCUUCGGGGUCCCAGGCGGCCAGGCAGGGCGGGGGCGCCUCGCUCUCUUCCCGCGCCCGCGUUCUUUCCUACGAGGGAUGUGCGGCGGGGUUCGGCGGAGGAUCGGUGGGUGCUGCGUGGGUCGGAAGCUCGGGCUUCCCGGGGUUAGCGUGGAGGGAAUGGCUCGGAGCGCCGCGGGCCACGGCGGUUCGCGCCCGCGCUGGCUCCGGGCUGGAGCGAGGUGAGUGUCCCCGCCAGGGGGCGCACUGCCAGGCCACUCUCCCUCGGAAGGCGAGCGCCGGCGCUACCCGCGCUGAAAUGGGGACACGCGGAACCCCAGCCCCACUGCCCGCAGGCUGGGCUCCAGGACGCACGGGCACCCGCCCCAGUGGACCCGGGGAGGGUCCCGAGCCUGAGACUCGCCUGCCGCGGUUAUCACUGGACAGAUCGGCUGACAUGAGGUGAUUUUUCCUGGGGGUCUGCAAAGGGUGAGUGAAACAUUCACCCCCAGAAAAACAAAAACGAAAGAAACUUUCCGAGAGCAGGGAGCUGGCGUGGAGAGCGUGGCUUGGAACGUUCACUUUUUGAGGUUUCUUGAAGUUUCCAAAACCCAAACUGUGGAAUGCGUCCUUUCUGUACAAGUGGCACCUUUUGUUCCUCGGAUCUGGCCCCAUCUCUAGGUGUGGGCUGGGUGGGGUCUUGGGGUGGCGCCACUCUUAUCCAUUCUCUCCCUGGGAGCAGUCAACGCGGAGGAGCGGGGCGGGGGAGGGGCCCAGAGAGCCGCUGCCCCGGCCGAGGUGUUGGAUUUCUCAGGGGUCAAUUUCUCACCCCUUAGGUCUGGGGUCUCCAGGGCACGUUCAUCUGGUCAUUUCACAAGUACUGGUGAAACCCUGCCCGUCGUCCCUGUUACCUCCCUCAGGACUUCUGUGUGUUGAGUCCGUGUGGCUGUGCCUUGGGAAGUGAGCCAGCUGCGGGCAUCUGUGAAAAGUGUCAUCUUUGUCCAUGUGGGGCUGUUCGACACUGAAGGGACACUGACAUCGCUCUCUCAAGUUCCCACCCUCCUCCCUGCACCCCACGAGAAUACCCGGAGCAAAUCCCACACCUAGCCCAGGCCGCCCGGUGGCCAGAGGAAGUUUUCAACGGAUCCUUCCCCCAACAUGCACUCUUUGGGUACACCUGUCCCACCCAGUGUCCUGAGAGUCCCCCGAUCUGGAAGGUGAUGGACGUGGAGUCCGUUGUAGACUGGACUGUCGGUUUUUUUUGUUGGAUGCAACCAAAAUGUUCCAGGACAAAGUUGCCUCAAGACCCGUGCGACUUCUAUUUUGAAUGGAGGAGGGGGAGGAGGAGGAGGAGGAGGAAGAGGAGGAGAGAGGGAAAGGAUGGGGCAGUCCUUCUCUCUGGCUGCGUCUUUCCGGGGGUCCAAAAAAACAAAAGGAGUUUUCUGUCUGUUUUGUUUAGCUUGCUUCUUCUCUUUUACUUGUAGUGACUCUUGUUUUUCUGCGAGGGAAGCCAGCCUGGGAACAGCCCUGCCCUUGGGGCCUGUGGGUGAGCACGGGGGCCCCCUGAAGUCUGGCAGCUUCUGUGUCCGGCCUGUCCUCUCCGUCUCCCCACCCCCACACACCUGUCCCAGACCCUGAGGGAUGCUAGCCUCCCGUCCCUGUCUUGCUCAGACUCUCAGACAAGCGCCAGUGGCUCUGAUUCUGCAGAGUGUUCAGUGGUGGCUGCCCGCUGUCCAUGUCCCCCCCUGCUCCCAAAUCUGAACGGGCAGGAGAUCAAUGAAGGCUCCAGGCCCCUUUCUGGAAGUUAAUCUGGACCUGGGUGUCGGACGCCUUGGGCUGACUUCAGGAAGGACCCCUGCCUUCAAACGCUCCCCCAGGAGGAGCCCCCUGGGUUGGUGAAGGCAGUGUCAGUGGUCACCGCCGGUUGAAGGACAGGGUGCUAGGCAGGGGAAGGUGUGGAGGUGACAUGAGGCAAGGGAUGAUGAGGACCUAGGGGAGGGACCGAGGCAGGGAGAGACCAC
rnacentral:lncRNA from 1 species